AACAAUUCUCAGGGCGGGGUGAAACUCCCCACCGGCGGUAAAUAGUGAGGUAAAAGAGAUUUUCCCACGCUAAAGCCCGCGAGCGCCCGAACGCAAUUUCGGGGUCAGCAGAUCUGGUGCCCUAGCAUGUCUCGCCAUGGUUAACGCCAAACGAGACCGCGCUAUUAUUCCAGAGCCGACGGUAAUGGACUGUUUGCCACUAGCGACAGUACUGAGUCCGGAUGGAAGAGAAUGUAA
rnacentral:ncRNA from 2 species